rfam:Salmo salar isolate Sally breed double haploid chromosome ssa01, whole genome shotgun sequence.
UGUGUUCACUACUGUAAGUUGCUCUGGAUAAGAGUGUCUGCUAAAUGACUAAAU